CUACCGGUAGUUCAGUUGGUUAGAAUGCCUGCCUGUCACGCAGGAGGUCGCGGGUUCGAGUCCCGUCCAGACCGCCA
rnacentral:tRNA from 1 species